ACAGCACUGUGCAAAAUCGUAAGAUGACGUAUACGGUGUGACGCCUGCCCGGUGCCGGAAGGUUAAUUGAUGGGGUUAGACUUCGGUCGAAGCUCUUGAUCGAAGCCCCGGUAAACGGCGGCCGUAACUAUAACGGUCCUAAGGUAGCGAAAUUCCUUGUCGGGUAAGUUCCGACCUGCACGAAUGGCGUAAUGAUGGCCACGCUGUCUCCACCCGAGACUCAGUGAAAUUGAAAUCGCUGUGAAGAUGCAGUGUACCCGCGGCUAGACGGAAAGACCCCGUGAACCUUUACUACAGCUUGGCACUGAACAUUGACCCUACAUGUGUAGGAUAGGUGGGAGGCUUUGAAGCACGUACGCCAGUAUGUGUGGAGCCGUCCUUGAAAUACCACCCUUGUAGUGUUGAUGUUCUAACGUCGACCCCUUAUCGGGGUUGCGGACAGUGCCUGGUGGGUAGUUUGACUGGGGCGGUCUCCUCCCAAAGAGUAACGGAGGAGCACGAAGGUGGGCUAAUCACGGUUGGACAUCGUGAGGUUAGUGCAAUGGCAUAAGCCCGCUUGACUGCGAGAAUGACAAUUCGAGCAGGUGCGAAAGCAGGUCAUAGUGAUCCGGUGGUUCUGAAUGGAAGGGCCAUCGCUCAACGGAUAAAAGGUACUCCGGGGAUAACAGGCUGAUACCGCCCAAGAGUUCAUAUCGACGGCGGUGUUUGGCACCUCGAUGUCGGCUCAUCACAUCCUGGGGCUGAAGUCGGUCCCAAGGGUAUGGCUGUUCGCCAUUUAAAGUGGUACGCGAGCUGGGUUUAGAACGUCGUGAGACAGUUCGGUCCCUAUCUGCCGUGGGCGUUGGAAGAUUGAAGGGGGCUGCUCCUAGUACGAGAGGACCGGAGUGGACGAACCUCUGGUGUUCGGGUUGUGUCGCCAGACGCAUUGCCCGGUAGCUAAGUUCGGAAUCGAUAACCGCUGAAAGCAUCUAAGCGGGAAGCGAGCCCUGAGAUGAGUCUUCCCUGAUACUUUAAGUAUCCUAAAGGGUUGUCGGAGACUACGACGUUGAUAGGUCAGGUGUGUAAGUGCUGUGAGGCAUUGAGCUAACUGAUACUAAUUGCCCGUGAGGCUUAACCAUACAACACCCAAGGGGUUU
rnacentral:rRNA from 1 species